AAAUGACUCUCGGCAACGGAUAUCCCGGCUCUCGCAUCGAUGAAGAACGUAGCAAAUGCGACACUUGGUGUGAAUUGCAGAAUCCCGUGAACCAUCGAGUCUUUGAACGCAAGUUGCGCCCGAAGCCAUUAGGCYGAGGGCACGUCUGCCUGGGUGUCACGC
rnacentral:rRNA from 1 species